GGAGUUAAUAGCUCAGUGGUAGGGUGCAUGCUUUGUGUGUAUGCUGUCCUGGGUUCAAUUCCCAGGUUCUCCC